rnacentral:rRNA from 1 species
UCAAGUUAUUAAGGGUGCAGGGCGGAUGCCUUGGCACUAGGAGCCGAUGAAGGACGUGAUAAGCUGCGAUAAGCUUCGGGGAGUUGCACGUAAACUUUGAUCCGAAGAUUUCCGAAUGAGGAAACUCACUUAGAGUAAUGUCUAAGUAUCAUUAAGUGAAUACAUAGCUUAAUGAGGGGAACUCAGGGAACUGAAACAUCUAAGUACCUGAAGGAAGAGAAAGAAAUUCGAUUCCGUAAGUAGCGGCGAGCGAACGCGGAUUAGCCCAAACCAAUAAAGUUUUCUUUAUUGGGGUUGAGGACAUACCACAUAUAAGAGGUCAUUAUAGACGAAGAAGUUUGGAAAAACUCAUCAUAGAAGGUAAUAAUCCUGUAGUCAAAAUAAUAAUUCUUUAGGUAUGAUCCAGAGUACCACGGGACACGUGAAACCCUGUGGGAAGUAGGAGGGACCACCCUCCAAGGCUAAAUACUACCUAGUGACCGAUAGCGUAUAGUACCGUGAGGGAAAGGUGAAAAGAACCCCGGGAGGGGAGUGAAAUAGAACCUGAAACCCUGCACUUACAAGCUGUGGAAGCACAUUUCUUGUGUGACCGCGUACUUUUUGUAGAACGGGCCAACGAGUUACGUUAAGUAGCAAGGUUAAGCACUUAAGGUGCGGAGCCGUAGCGAAAGCGAGUUUUAACUGAGCGUUCAGUUACUUGACGUAGACCCGAAACCGGGCGACCUACCCAUGAGCAGGAUGAAGCGAAAGUAAAAUUUCGUGGAGGUCCGAACCCACGAGCGUUGAAAAGCUCGGGGAUGACUUGUGGGUAGCGGUGAAAUUCCAAUCGAGCCCGGAGAUAGCUGGUUCUCCCCGAAAUAGCUUUAGGGCUAGCCUCAAGGUGAGAGAUACGGAGGUAGAGCACUGAAUGUCCUAGGGGGUAUUGCACCUACCGAAGACUAUCAAACUCCGAAUGCCGUCAUCUUAUACUUGGGAGUCAGACUGUGGGUGAUAAGAUUCAUAGUCGAAAGGGCAACAGCCCAGAUCGUCAGCUAAGGUCCCUAAAUGUAAGUUAAGUGGUAAAGGAUGUGGGAUUGCACAGACAACCAGGAUGUUGGCUUAGAAGCAGCCACUCAUUCAAAGAGUGCGUAAUAGCUCACUGGUCGAGUGAUCCUGCGCCGAAGAUUUCCGGGGCUAAAACUUACUACCGAAGCUACGGCAUCAGUAAUGAUGGGUAGGGGAGCUUCCCAUACGGGUUGAAGCAUGACCGUAAGGACAUGUGGACAGUAUGGGAGUGAGAAUGUUGGCAUGAGUAGCGAGAUGUGGGUGAGAAUCCCACAGGCCGUAAACCCAAGGUUUCCAGGGGAAGGUUCGUCCGCCCUGGGUUAGUCGGGACCUAAGCUGAGGCCGAAAGGCGUAGGUGAUGGACAACAGGUUGAUAUUCCUGUACUACCGAUAACCGUUUGAGAGAAGGGAUGACACAGUAGGAUAAGCUAAGCACACUGUUGGUUAUGUGUGCCCAAGCAUUGAGGCAGUCAAAGUAGGCAAAUCCGCUUUGAUAAUGCUGGGAUGUGAUGGGGAGCGAAAUUUAGUAGCGAAGUAGCUGAUUUCACACUGUCAAGAAAAGUCUCUAUCGAGGUUAAAGGUACCCGUACCGCAAACCGACACAGGUGGGUGAGGAGAGUAUCCUAAGGCCAGCGAGAGAACUGUUGUUAAGGAACUCGGCAAAAUGACCCCGUAACUUAGGGAUAAGGGGUGCCACCAUCAGGUGGCCGCAGAGAAUAGGCCCAAGCGACUGUUUACCAAAAACAUAGGUUUCUGCUAAGUCGCAAGACGAUGUAUAGGAGCUGACGCCUGCCCGGUGCUGGAAGGUUAAGGGGAUCUGUUAGAGCAAUCGAAGCAGUGAACUUAAGCCCCAGUAAACGGCGGCCGUAACUAUAACGGUCCUAAGGUAGCGAAAUUCCUUGUCGGGUAAGUUCCGACCCGCACGAAAGGCGUAACGAUUUGGGCACUGUCUCAACAACAGACUCGGUGAAAUUGUAAUUCCGGUGAAGAUGCCGGAUACCUGCGACAGGACGGAAAGACCCCAUGGAGCUUUACUGUAGCUUGACAUUGGGUCUUGGUACUACAUGUACAGGAUAGGUGGGAGGCUUUGAAACCAGGGCGCCAGUUUUGGCGGAGCCAUCCUUGGGAUACCACCCUUGUAGUACUGGGACUCUAACCAUAGGCCAUGAAUCUGGUCUUGGGACACUGUCAGGUGGGCAGUUUGACUGGGGCGGUCGCCUCCCAAAAGGUAACGGAGGCGCUCAAAGGUUCUCUCAGUACGGUCGGAAAUCGUACGUAGAGUGUAAAGGCAAAAGAGAGCUUGAUUGCAAGACAUACAGGUCGAGCAAGGAUGAAAAUCGGACUUAGUGAUCCGGUGGUUCUGCGUGGAAGGGCCAUCGCUCAACGGAUAAAAGCUACCCUGGGGAUAACAGGCUUAUCUCCCCCAAGAGUCCACAUCGACGGGGAGGUUUGGCACCUCGAUGUCGGCUCAUCACAUCCUGGGGCUGUAGUAGGUCCCAAGGGUUGGGCUGUUCGCCCAUUAAAGUGGUACGCGAGCUGGGUUCAGAACGUCGUGAGACAGUUCGGUCCCUAUCCGUCGCAGGCGUAGGAAAUUUGAGAAGACCUGUCCUUAGUACGAGAGGACCGGGAUGGACGUACCUCUGGUGUACCAGUUGUUCUGCCAAGGGCAUGGCUGGGUAGCUAUGUACGGAAUGGAUAAGCGCUGAAAGCAUCUAAGCGCGAAGCCAACUUCAAGAUAAGAUUUCCCACCGCAAGGGUAAGACCCCAGAAAGACUAUCUGGUUGAUAGGUCGAAGGUGUAAGUGCAGCAAUGUAUUUAGCUUAUCGAUACUAAUAGGUCGAGGACUUGACCAA